rnacentral:rRNA from 1 species
AUGCUUGAUAAAUUCAAAUCCAAGCUCACAACAUACAAGGCCGGUAAACUUUCUCAUGCUGCAAGGCUUGAACUCAUCAAAUCUGUUUUCUCCUUCAUUCCAGUUUACUAUAUGUCCAACAUACUUUUCACCAAAAAGUUUAUUGCCAAGCUCACUGCUGUUAUUAGGAACUUCUGGUGGACUGGUAUAAGAGAAGAAACAAAUUCUAGGAGCCUUUGCUUGAGAGCUUGGAAAGACAUUUGUACUCCAAAAAAUGAGGGCGGACUUGGUAUAAGAAAUCUCCAAGCAAUGAAUCAGAGCCUCAUUCUUAUGGCAGCAUGGAGGAUUGCUGAUCAACCAAAUGAUUUCUUACAUGCUGUACUCAAAUCCAAAUACUUCCCAGACUCUUCCAUUUGGCGCCCAAAUUCAAAUGCUCCAAAAUCAGCCUAG